CAAGGUUUCCGUAGGUGAACCUGCGGAAGGAUCAUUGUCGAAACCUGCCCAGCAGAACGACCCGUGAACAUGUGAACCCAAGUUCAGUGGUAAGUCAAGUGGGGAGCGAUCUCCCUUGCCUUACCGCUCGGUCGGGGAGUCGGUUAAACCCCCUCUCCUUGUGCCGAAAAACGAACCCAAGGCGCGGCAAGCGCCAAGGAACAAACAAACGGAUGUCUAGCGCGUCUACCCGCUUUCUCUUGCUUAGGCAGGAGAACAGCGGUGGACGUAGCGAGAUCCGAUCUUCGAACGACUCUCGGCAACGGAUAUCUCGGCUCUCGCAUCGAUGAAGAACGUAGCGAAAUGCGAUACUUGGUGUGAAUUGCAGAAUCCCGUGAACCAUCGAGUUUUUGAACGCAAGUUGCGCCCCAAGCCUUCGGGCCGAGGGCACGCUUGCCUGGGCGUCACGCACCGAGUCACCCCCUUCAGCUCCUUUCUUUGCGUCUUCUGGCGACAUUGAUAUCAGAGAGUGGAAGGGGGCGGAGAUUGACCCCCCGUGCCUUGCGGUGCGGUCGGUCUAAAUAAAGGCCCUGGGAGGCCAGCGUCACGAUUCGUGGUGGUCGACACUUGUUGUCUCUCCUCAUUCCGAAAUCCGUGUGCGUUGUGCCGCCGUGAAGGACCACAAGGACCCCAUCGGGCCGUUAAUGCGGCACCCACUCUGCGACCCCAGUCAAGCGGGACUACCCGCUGAAUUUAAGCAUAUC
rnacentral:rRNA from 1 species